rnacentral:rRNA from 1 species
AAAUUGAAGAGUUUGAUCAUGGCUCAGAUUGAACGCUGGCGGCAGGCCUAACACAUGCAAGUCGAGCGGAAACGGCAGCAUUGAAGCUUCGGUGGAUUUGCUGGACGUCGAGCGGCGGACGGGUGAGUAACGGCUGGGAACCUGCCCUGACGCGGGGGAUAACCGUUGGAAACGACGGCUAAUACCGCAUAAU